rnacentral:rRNA from 1 species
AUAUUGGACAAUGGGGGCAACCCUGAUCCAGCAACGCCGCGUGAGCGAAGAAGGCCUUCGGGUCGUAAAGCUCUUUUCUGAGGGAAGAGGAAGGACGGUACCUCAGGAAUAAGUCUCGGCUAACUACGUGCCAGCAGCCGCGGUAAAACGUAGGAGGCGAGCGUUAUCCGGAUUUACUGGGCGUAAAGGGCAAGUAGGCGGUGGCCAAAGUUGGGCGUGACAUCUCCCGGCUCAACUGGGAGGGGUCGUUCAAAACUAGGUCACUAGAGGGCAGGAGAGGGAAGCGGAAUUCCUAGUGUAGCGGUGGAAUGCUCAGAUAUUAGGAAGAACACCAGUGGCGAAGGCGGCUUCCUGGCCUGUACCUGACGCUGAGAGGCGAAAGCUAGGGUAGCAAACGGG